GGCCCAAAUAUCCGGGCCAGGUUCAGGCCUAGCUUAUAAGAUUCUCUAGGCCAUAUGAUGAUCGCGGAAACAACAAGCUCAGAUCAGAACCGGUUAAGCCGUCACGUUCCAAUUACCGGCCGGAUCAAAACCGAAACCGAUGCGGGCUUCAUAGUUUGUCCAGAAAAGUCAGAGUACUCGGUGGCUACUUGCUUGCUGCUACUAUAUGGCGGAGCAACUUCUAGGGUUUAUCUCCUACUAAAUUCUAAACCCAGACAAUGAUACCUGGUUUUUCUUCUCCAAUCGUAUCUGUAGAUAUUCACUGUUUCACUCCAGCGAUUUGUACUCACAAUGCCCCAAAACAAUGGCGUUCGCUUCACUUGAUAUGAGCUUCAUUAUCAAUGAGUCUGUCAAAAGACAUAGUUGCGCCUGAGUCACAUACAAAAUCUCCGAUCCUCUGCUAAGCUUCAUGGUCGGUGAGUCAGCCUGCGUAACCGGCACUCCUGGCUCAGAGCCUUUGUGACUCCGCAGAAGGGAGUGGCGGUGAUCACUCAGCUAGUCGACACGAGGAUGAGAGGAUUUUGAUAAGCGAAGCGUUUGUGAGAUACAAGGAUGGCGACGAGCUGGAGAGCAAGGACCUGGAAGCGGAGGCUGUGGCUGCAUUGAAAGCGUGCCGGGCCAAUUAGGCUCUCACGGUGCGCGAGGUUCAAGAGGAUGUACGUAGGAUUACUGGUAGUGGAUAUUUUUGCUCGUCUAUGCCUGUCGCAGUAGAUACGCGCGAUGGUAUGAGAUUGGUGUUUCAGCUGGCGCCAGUUGAAGGAGUUCUCUUUACUGACUAUGGAACUGAUCUGGGAUGUGGAUCCACUGUGCCUGGUAGAUUGCGAUUUGUCUAUCAAUCUGCUGUUGAAGUAGGAUUUAGGCUGUGCGCUAAUAGUGUUAUUUGAGAGAAAAGAACGGAAAUGCGGGCACUGGUUAUGCAAUAAGGUUCUUGUUCAUGGUUAGAUAAGGACUAGCAAUGUGCCGAAGAGCCAUCUCACAGCUCCGCCCCAGUUUACACGAGUUUCAUUUGCUAAAUGAGUUGCUUAUCAUUCAAAUUGUGCAUAAAAUGUUUUUUGGACAAUGUUUUAUUGCUUAGUAUGAUCACUGAUAUAUGCUCUACUCUUGAUGAGUUGCGUAUUUCUUAUGAUAUUACUAUAGUUUUGUUCUUAUCCUAUGGGCCUCUUCAUUGUUCUUUAUUAGGUGAUCCUGUUGGGGCAAGGUUGAAGCGUGGAAGUGGGUAUGUAUAUGGCUUUGGCAUCUGAUUGGACUCUCCUUUUCGUCCUUUGCGUCUCGAAUAUGCAUCUAAUGACGGGCGUGCGAAGAGGUUUCACUUGGGAGUUUUUUUUUUUUUAUUUAUUUUUUAAAUAGGGCUGAAAUCAUAUCACCAUCAAUCCAUCUUACAAGCCAAUUUGGAUGGUUUAACCAACAGUUACAUAACAAAUUUCCUUCCAAGCAUCUUUUAGCAAUAGAAUCAGUGGCUCUCCUAUUCACGGAUCAAAAAAAUCAUGGAAGGGAUCUCCAGGGCUAACUUGAAAAAUAGUAUGAACAAACGCUUUGACAUCUCAUUGGUAAUCCAUAUUUUUGUUUUCCAAAAUCUGAACUAGAGUAAAGGAAUCAGAUUCAAUAAUGGCAUUUGAGAUUCCCAUCUACCUGACCAAAAUAACAGCUUGCGAAGAGGUUUCACUUUGGAGUCGGUCGCCGAGAUUAAGGCCCUAGUGCAUUCCAGUACUUUUAGUUGGGUAUCAUUCAUCCUUUUCUUUUAAUUAAUUAAUGGUUUUGUUGGGGAGAUUUGUGUGGCUAAGUUAAAUGCUUUUGUUUAGUUUGUAUUGGUGCCGGGCCUAAGAUCUGGGCGUUUUUAAAUUUAUGAAGUUUCUUUAUAUCAACUUGUGACUGAUAACUUAUGGACUGCAGGCAUUAUUAAGUGGCUCAGAGAUGGUCCCAUUUAUUAUGGGUCCAGUCCCCUCUCUGUCUUACAAGUUUUAUGCAUUUUAGGUCUUUGUUAGAAGUUCAUUUACGGCUUGGAAGUUCCCCUGUUGGUUGGAACAAAGAAAUUCCGGAGAAGAGACAGGGGCAAACGACAGGAAGCUAGCAAGGGACGUUAUGUCAUCAAGUGAACAGGAACUGCUAAUCAAUCAUUGCACUUGCAACUGCAUCUCUCUGCAAGUCCGUCUUUUUAACCUUUCUGACAUUCACACGUGUCCACCCAUUCUAUCAAUCUUCUCUGUUUAUAUCUUUAGGCGAACUGUUUGUUCUGAACUUUCAAUUAAAAUUAUGGAUUGUAAUUCAGAAUUAAUGGGUGGUCGCUCUUAAGCAUAUAUAAUUAUUCUGGUCUUAAACAAAGAUUAGAUAACCAAUUAAAUAAGAAGAGAUGGAAACAAUAGCAUAAAAACGAUGAUGAUUUUGAGAAAAUUGUGGCGGAUGCCUGAAAAUCUUAUAACAAGAUUGGGACAAGGACAAGUAUCUUCGAGCAACUGACACGAUGUACUCGUGUUUGUGUUGUGCAUUUCGAGGGUACAUGCACACA